rnacentral:rRNA from 1 species
UAAUACGGAGGGUGCAAGCGUUAUCCGGAUUCACUGGGUUUAAAGGGUGCGUAGGUGGCUUUGUAAGUCAGUGGUGAAAGCCCGGAGCUUAACUCCGGAACUGCCAUUGAUACUGCUUAGCUUGAAUCAACUUGAGGUGGAUGGAAUAUUACAUGUAGCGGUGAAAUGCUUAGAUAUGUAAUAGAACACCGAUUGCGAAGGCAGUUCACUAAGGUUGUAUUGACACUGAGGCACGAAAGCGUGGGGAUCAAACAGGAUUAGAUACCCUGGUAGUCCACGCCUUAAACGAUGUAAACUCGACAUUAGCGAUAUACUGUUAGUGUCCAAGCGAAAGCGUUAAGUUUACCACCUGGGAAGUACGACCGCAAGGUUGAAACUCAAAUGAAUUGACGG